rnacentral:rRNA from 1 species
AUUGAACGCUGGCGGAAUGCUUUACACAUGCAAGUCGAACGGCAGCACGGGGCAACCUGGUGGCGAGUGGCGAACGGGUGAGUAAUACAUCGGAACGUGCCCAAUCGUGGGGGAUAACGUAGCGAAAGUUACGCUAAUACCGCAUACGAUCUACGGAUGAAAGCGGGGGAUCGCAAGACCUCGCGCGAAUGGAGCGGCCGAUGUCAGAUUAGGUAGUUGGUGGGGUAAAGGCUCACCAAGCCAACGAUCUGUAGCUGGUCUGAGAGGACGACCAGCCACACUGGGACUGAGACACGGCCCAGACUCCUACGGGAGGCAGCAGUGGGGAAUUUUGGACAAUGGGCGCAAGCCUGAUCCAGCCAUUCCGCGUGCAGGAUGAAGGCCUUCGGUUGUAAACUGCUUUGUUACGGAACGAAACGGUUACGUCUCU